rnacentral:misc_RNA from 1 species
CCCAUUCAAAUGACAAGAGUACAAAACUAUUCGUCGACGGCAUCUUGGCUGCUUACAAAUACACUAGCCCCUGUCUAACCUUGCUACACUGCACACCUGACAACUUCAUGUCAUCACGUGCUUGUUCCUUGCGUGGACAUGAUGCAUCUGUGUACUCGGUGUCUGGAACGUCACGACAACGCCGCCCGUGGCGACGGCGCAGCACCGGCGUCGAAGAGUGCCUCCAUCUCCUCGAGGCUCCUCCCCUUGGUCUCAGGCAGGCACGCGUAGACGAACACCCACGCCGCCGCGGACAUCGCCGCGAAGAUGUAGAAGGUCCCGGCCAUGCCCACCGCCUCGUACAUCGGGAUGAAGGUCAUCCCCACGAUGGCGCUCAUCACCCGGUUGACCGCCGUCCCGACGCCAGUCCCCUGCGCGCGCAGCCGCAGCGGCAGGAUCUCCGACCCGUACAUCCAGAUCACGGGUCCGAACCCCAGCGAGAAGGUCGCCAUGAACGCCACGGCGGCGGCGACGCACGUCGCGGCCGACGUCGCGCGUAUGGACAGGCCGAGGACCAGAAGCGACGCGGCCAUGCCGCCCGCGCUGGUGAGCAGCAUGGGCCGGCGGCCGAGGCUGUCGGCGAGGAACAGAGGGACGACGAUCGCCACCGUCUUGGCGGCGCCGAGGAGGACGGUGGCGCCGAGCACGUCGCGCUCGGAGGUGAUCCCGACGUGGCUGAACACGCGCGGGGCGUACAGCACCAUGGCCGCCACGCCGCACGCCUGCUGGAACACCUGCAGCCCCAGGAUGGCCAGCAUCACGCGGCGGACGGCGGGCGUCGGCCGGAGCAGGAUCUCGCGCCGCACGCUCGCCGACGACGGCGCGUCGCCGCCGCCGGAGCCCGCCUGCUUCGUGGCCUCCUGCACGGACGUCAAGAUCUCCUGGAGCCGGCGGUCCGCGUCCCCCACCGUGCGCUCCAGCACGCGGCGCGCCUCGUCGCGGUGGCCGUGGAGGACGAGCCAGCGCGGGGUCUCCGGCAUGGCAAGCGCGGCCGCGGCCGCUAGGAAUAGAGGAGGGACGGCGCCGAUGCCGAUCAUCAGGCGCCAGUUGAGUGGCGUCGGGAGGCCGGCGAGCGCGAAGUCGGCGAUGUAGCUCAGCAGGAUGCCCGAGUUGCCGGCGAUCUGACGUCACAAAGCAUGAUUAUAGGUCACAAGAAAUAAUAAUAACUGUCAAUCGUCUCGAUCGCAUCUAGGCCAUUUCCUAAAAGCUGUCAUCAGCUGUGGCCCCCAAAAGCUGGCGUCCAGUUUGCCACUGAUCUAGACCUUUUUCCUAAAACCAUGCGCGCGCACGCAAAACCUCUCGUGGAAAAAAAAUGCAAGUGAAUAAAAGAAUGCAAGUGGAAGAUGUGAAAAAAAAAGCAUCAUGGUGAAUAAAAUUAAGCAUGCAAGUUUUGAUUGGAUGUCAUCUGUUAGGCCUCCGUUGACAUUAUUGUACCAGCUGUACUCUUUCGCUAAAUAGUAGUCGUUUUAAAGAAUCAGUGGUUUAUACAAUUCUUUACGCAUGUUAUAUCAAACGACUAAUGUUUUGGAACCGAGAGAGUACUCUGAUAAUUCAACGUGC